rnacentral:rRNA from 1 species
GAUGAACGCUGGCGGCGUGCCUAAUACAUGCAAGUCGAGCGAACGGACGAGAAGCUUGCUUCUCUGAUGUUAGCGGCGGACGGGUGAGUAACACGUGGAUAACCUACCUAUAAGACUGGGAUAACUUCGGGAAACCGUAGCUAAUACCGGAUAAUAUUUUGAACCGCAUGGUUCAAAAGUGAAAGACGGUCUUGCUGUCACUUAUAGAUGGAUCCGCGCUGCAUUAGCUAGUUGGUAAGGUAACGGCUUACCAAGGCAACGAUGCAUAGCCGACCUGAGAGGGUGAUCGGGCACACUGGAACUGAGACACGGUCCAGACCCCUACGGGAGGCAGCAGUAGGGAAUCUUCCGCAAUGGGCGAAAGCCUGACGGAGCAACGCCGCGUGAGUGAUGAAGGUCUUCGGAUCGUAAAACUCUGUUAUUAGGGAAGAACAUAUGUGUAAGUAACUGUGCACAUCUUGACGGUACCUAAUCAGAAAGCCACGGCUAACUACGUG